rnacentral:rRNA from 1 species
CAAUAGCGUAUAUUAAAGUUGUUGCGGUUAAAAAGCUCGUAGUUGGAUUUCUGCCGAGGACGACCGGUCCGCCCACUGGGUGUGUAUCUGGCUUGGCCUUGGCAUCUUCUUGGAGAACGUGCUGCAUUUGACUGUGUGGUACGGUAUCCAGGACCUUUACUUUGAGAAAAUUAGAGUGUUUCAAGCAGGUUUUGCAGGAAUACAUUAGCAUGGAAUAAUAUCAAACAGCUAGAAUGUUGGUCAAGUUCUAGAGUGUGAUUAAUAGGGAUAGUUGGGGGCAUUAGUACUUAAUUGUCAGAGGUGAAAUUCUUGGAUUUUUUAAAGACUAACUUAUGCGAAAGCAUUUGCCAAGGAUGUUUUCAUUNA